GCCUUCGGGGUGUAGUGGUCAGCACGCUGGGCGCGUAUUCCAGAGGUCCAUAGUUCGAGUCCCGGCGAAAGCA
rnacentral:tRNA from 1 species